AUGAAACGAAGUGAUUUCCCACCUGAAUUUUUCUUUGGAGCCGCAUCAUCUGCUUAUCAGUUUGAAGGUGCCGCAAGGGAGGAUGGUAAAGGAGUAAGCAACUGGGACCAGUUCACUGCUAGACAUCCAGAUAUGAUAAAGGACGGCAAGACUGGAGAUGU